UACGUAGGCAGCGAGCGUUGUUCGGAAUUACUGGGCGUAAAGGGCUCGUAGGCGGCCAACUAAGUCAGACGUGAAAUCCCUCGGCUUAACCGUGGAACUGCUGGGUAUACUGGCGAUCUUGAGGUGCUCAGGGGCGAGCGGAACAGAUGGUGGAGCGGUGAAAUGCGUAGAUAUCAUCUGGAACGCCUGCGGUGAAAACGGCUCGCUGGGAGCAAUCUGACGCUGAGACACGAAAGCCAGGGGAGCGAACGGG
rnacentral:rRNA from 1 species